AUGCGUUCUAAAUUUCCAAGAACAAAGCCAAGGAUGACUAAUAAACACCCAAAGCAGCUAACCAAUAAUUAAAGAGAACCAAGAAAAGAAAGGGAAGAAAAAAGACUAGGAAAAAUCUGGGAUUUAGGAACACUAAUACAAGCACACUUAAUCAUCAAUCUACAUAUUCUAUAGGCAUAAGCCCUUCUGAUGAAAAAUUAACAUGCUUAUACCUUCUCUUCGUGAUCCCUACUAUAUACAGGAACUUCCAUCUCAGGAUUUUUAUGCUGAUCAACAAAUGAUUUCUCUCCUUUAAUCUCAUCAUCUCUGGAGUCCUCUCCAUGGAUCCUGUUCAUUUUCUUAUUGUCUCCCUUGCUGCGAUAUAUUACAGCAAUAGUCCUGGUAUCAAAAUCUUUAACAAAAUGGUUCUUCUUUUUAGCCCCUGAUAAAGAAGAAGCAGCAGCUGGAUCUUCAACAAACAGGCCUCUGAUCGCUUCUGGUAUUUUCUGAUCUUUCAUUAUGCUCUUCCAAUAAUCCUCUGGUAGUUUUCUUGCAUAGCUUAGAUUGGCAAAAGAGAGAAGAGGGAAGAGAAGAAAGAAAGCAAGUGUGAGCUUCUUCAUGUCUUUCUUUUCAACACUUGGAUUAUUUUGCUACUUGCACUUUGUAUUGUAUUGUAGGCUAGCUGUCUUCCAAGUGUUGAAAAGAAAGACA
rnacentral:misc_RNA from 1 species